CAUAAUCACUUCUUUCUCUCUCACACUCCACUUUCUCUCUCAUUUCUCUCUACCUUCACCACUCCAUUUUCUCUCUUCCUCUCUCUAUACCCACGAAAUUUACAGAAAAUAAGUCCAAGAACACACCUCAAACUCAAAAUUUUCAUCAUCUAGUGGUGUUUAUUAAGGAAUCGAUGGUGGUACGAGUGGAGCAUAGUGAAGGCACCAUUUGCAUCAUCUCAAUGCAUAUUGAAUCAUCGAGUAAGUGGCACUUAGGGACACUUCACUUUUAGGAGCAUUCGCAUGUGUUGUAUUUCUAUUUUCAUUGUAAUUUCUUUUAAAAUUUGCUCAAACCCAUUGAAAAUUUGUAAUGAUUUUUAAUACUA